rnacentral:tRNA from 1 species
UCCCUGUUUGUCUAGUGGUCAGGAUUUGGUGCUUUCACCGCUGUGGUCUGGGUUCAAUUGCCGGUCAGGGAA